rnacentral:lncRNA from 1 species
UCUGGAAAUUCUUGUCACUGCAUAUUACACUUACAACUUGAUUUUUAUCGUAUUGAGUUAUGUGAACUCACUUCUCAUCAUUCACAGGUGGAGUAAGGACGGAAUUGGGAUCCGAGCGGCUGGUAACGGAGCCCCGUCGGUAGUGCCAUAGGGCACAAGUUUUGUUUGUGAUUUAAAGUAGUUUGAAAGGAUGGUUUAGUCUGGAUAUUGAAUAUCUAGGAAUGUUUGAUAUUGUAUUACUAUGUGUUGUAGAGGUGGAGAUGUAUGUACAAUUGAUUUGGAACAUGGAAGGUGGA